GAUGAACGCUGGCGGCGUGCCUAAUACAUGCAAGUCGAGCGAACGGACGAGAAGCUUGCUUCUCUGAUGUUAGCGGCGGACGGGUGAGUAACACGUGGAUAACCUACCUAUAAGACUGGGAUAACUUCGGGAAACCGGAGCUAAUACCGGAUAAUAUUUUGAACCGCAUGGUUCAAAAGUGAAAGACGGUCUUGCUGUCACUUAUAGAUGGAUCCGCGCUGCAUUAGCUAGUUGGUAAGGUAACGGCUUACCAAGGCAACGAUGCAUAGCCGACCUGAGAGGGUGAUCGGCCACACUGGAACUGAGACACGGUCCAGACUCCUACGGGAGGCAGCAGUAGGGAAUCUUCCGCAAUGGGCGAAAGCCUGACGGAGCAACGCCGCGUGAGUGAUGAAGGUCUUCGGAUCGUAAAACUCUGUUAUUAGGGAAGAACAUAUGUGUAAGUAACUGUGCACAUCUUGACGGUACCUAAUCAGAAAGCCACGGCUAACUACGUGCCAGCAGCCGCGGUAAUACGUAGGUGGCAAGCGUUAUCCGGAAUUAUUGGGCGUAAAGCGCGCGUAGGCGGUUUUUUAGUCUGAUGUGAAAGCCCACGGCUCAACCGUGGAGGGUCAUUGGAAACUGGAAAACUUGAGUGCAGAAGAGGAUAGUGGAAUUCCAUGUGUAGCGGUGAAAUGCGCAGAGAUAUGGAGGAACACCAGUGGCGAAGGCGACUUUCUGGUCUGUAACUGACGCUGAUGUGCGAAAGCGUGGGGAUCAAACAGGAUUAGAUACCCUGGUAGUCCACGCCGUAAACGAUGAGUGCUAAGUGUUAGGGGGUUUCCGCCCCUUAGUGCUGCAGCUAACGCAUUAAGCACUCCGCCUGGGGAGUACGACCGCAAGGUUGAAACUCAAAGGAAUUGACGGGGACCCGCACAAGCGGUGGAGCAUGUGGUUUAAUUCGAAGCAACGCGAAGAACCUUACCAAAUCUUGACAUCCUUUGACAACUCUAGAGAUAGAGCUUUCCCCUUCGGGGGACAAAGUGACAGGUGGUGCGUGGUUGUCGUCAGCUCGUGUCGUGAGAUGUUGGGUUAAGUCCCGCAACGAGCGCAACCCUUAAGCUUAGUUGCCAUCAUUAAGUUGGGCACUCUAAGUUGACUGCCGGUGACAAACCGGAGGAAGGUGGGGAUGACGUCAAAUCAUCAUGCCCCUUAUGAUUUGGGCUACACACGUGCUACAAUGGACAAUACAAAGGGCAGCGAAACCGUGAGGUCAAGCAAAUCCCAUAAAGUUGUUCUCAGUUCGGAUUGUAGUCUGCAACUCGACUACAUGAAGCUGGAAUCGCUAGUAAUCGUAGAUCAGCAUGCUACGGUGAAUACGUUCCCGGGUCU
rnacentral:rRNA from 1 species